rnacentral:rRNA from 1 species
AUGGCGGACCCUCCCUCCUUCCGUCGCCACCCGCUCCCCUUCUCGAUCGACCUCGUCCGCUGGCUCCCGUCCUCCGCCUCCUCCGGCCGCCUCCUGGCGGCCGCCGUCCACGACCCCUCCGUGCCCGCCUCCUCGCGCCUCAGCCUCCUCCCGCUCCACGACCCCGCCUCCCCGCUCGCCUCCCUCCCGCUCCCCUCCCGGCCCACGGCCCUCCGCUGCUCCCCCUCCGUCCUCGCCGCCGCCACCUCCUCCGGCUCCCUCCACCUCCUCCCCUCCUCCUUCGACACCGACUCGGCGGUGUCCGUCCCCGGCGGCGCGGGGUUCCAUGUGGGGCCCGUGCGCGGGCUCGACUGCGGCGGCGAGGGGUGGGUGACGGCGGGGGAGGACGGGAGGGUGCACGUGGUGUCGGACGGCGGCGACGGCAGGGUGGUGGCGAGGAGGGUGUGGGAUGGGAAGGGCAUGUCGGGGUACGGGGCGGCGAGAUGGGCGUCGUCCGCCGAGUUCGCCACCGGCGGCGCCGGCUGCGGCGUGCAGUGGUGGGACCGCAGGAAAGGGGACGCCGUGGUGGCGCAGUGCAAGGGCGUCUGGGGUCGUGGUGUCGCCACCGGCAUGGUGCAUUCCAUUGAUAUACAUCCAUCAAGAAAGCAUGUCUGUGUGGUUGGAGGCUCCUCAGGAACAAUAUUUGCUUGGGACCUCCGCUGGGCACAGCAGCCAAUACCACUCUCUGGUGUAGGCCUUGAUGAAACAGCACAACCCCUGUGCGAGAGUGAGGUCUGGGAGGUUCUUUUUGACAACUACACACAGUCUUCUGAUAUUAUCUCGUCUGUCUCAACAAGAAUAUUACCUGUGAUGCUGUGCUCAGAGGAUGGAAUCCUUGCAAUCGUCGAACAAGAUGAGUGGCCUCUUGCAUUGCUUGCCGAGCCCUGUGCUAUCAACUCCUUUGAUAUCGAUCCUCAGAACCCUUCUGAUGUCGUCUGUGCCCUGGAAUGGGAAUCGAUUGGCGUGCUUACACGUGGAAGUGAUGCAAUGGCAGAGGAAUGA